UGGGGAAUAUUCGCACAUAUGGGCGCAAGCCUGAUGCAGCCAUGCCGCGUGUGUGAAGAAGGCCUUCGGGUUGUAAAGCACUUUCAGCGGGGAGGAAGGCGAUAAGGUUAAUAACCUUGUUGAUUGACGUUACCCGCAGAAGAAGCACCGGCUAACUCCGUGCCAGCAGCCGCGGUAAUACGGAGGGUGCAAGCGCUAAUCGGAAUUACUGGGCGUAAAGCGCACGCAGGCGGUCUGUCAAGUCGGAUGUGAAAUCCCCGGGCUCAACCUGGGAACUGCAUUCGAAACUGGCAGGCUAGAGUCUUGUAGAGGGGGGUAGAAUUCCAGGUGUAGCGGUGAAAUGCGUAGAGAUCUGGAGGAAUACCGGUGGCGAAGGCGGCCCCCUGGACAAAGACUGACGCUCAGGUGCAAAAGCGUGGGGAGCAAACAGGAUUAGAUACCCUGGUAGUCCACGCCGUAAACGAUGUCGAUUUGGAGGUUGUGCCCUUGAGGCGUGGCUUCCGGAGCUAACGCGUUAAAUCGACCGCCUGGGGAGUACGGCCGCAAGGUUA
rnacentral:rRNA from 1 species